rnacentral:rRNA from 1 species
AUUGAACGCUGGCGGCAUGCCUUACACAUGCAAGUCGAACGGCAGCAUGGGUGCUUGCACCUGAUGGCGAGUGGCGAACGGGUGAGUAAUGCAUCGGAACGUACCCGGAAGUGGGGGAUAACGUAGCGAAAGUUACGCUAAUACCGCAUAUUCUGUGAGCAGGAAAGUGGGGGAUCGCCAGACCUCGCGCUUCCGGAGCGGCCGAUGUCGGAUUAGCUAGUUGGCGGGGUAAAGGCCCACCAAGGCAACGAUCCGUAGCGGGUCUGAGAGGAUGAUCCGCCACACUGGGACUGAGACACGGCCCAGACUCCUACGGGAGGCAGCAGUGGGGAAUUUUGGACAAUGGGGGCAACCCUGAUCCAGCCAUGCCGCGUGAGUGAGGAAGGCCUUCGGGUUGUAAAGCUCUUUCGGCCGGGAAGAAAUCGCACAGGUUAAUACCUUGUGUGGAUGACGGUACCGGAAUAAGAAGCACCGGCUAACUACGUGCCAGCCGCCGCGGUAACAC